rnacentral:rRNA from 1 species
CUACGGGAGGCAGCAGUAAGGAAUAUUGCGCAAUGGAGGCAACUCUGACGCAGCCAUGCCGCGUGCAGGACUGAAGGCCUUAUGGGUCGUAAACUGCUUUUAUUUAGGAAUAAACUCUUGUACGUGUACGAGACUGAAGGUACUAAAUGAAUAAGCACCGGCUAACUCCGUGCCAGCAGCCGCGGUAAUACGGAGGGUGCAAGCGUUAUCCGGAUUUAUUGGGUUUAAAGGGUGCGCAGGCGGACUAUUAAGUCAGAGGUGAAAUCCCGGAGUUCAACUUCGGAACUGCCUUUGAUACUGGUAGUCUUGAAUACGGUUGAAGUAGGCGGAAUGUAGCAUGUAGCGGUGAAAUGCAUAGAGAUGCUACAGAACACCGAUCGCGAAGGCAGCUUACUAAGCCGAUAUUGACGCUCAGGCACGAAAGCGUGGGGAGAGAACAGGAUUAGAUACCCCCGUAGUC